CAGGCAUGGGCCACUGUGCCCAGCCUAUUAUCUGUAUUUUUAAUUUAACAUAGUUUAUUUUUAAAAUACAUGUUUUCAUCAGAUACAGGAGUCUCUGCUAAACUGUCUUUAUCUGAAUAAUUCAAGUGCAAGGGAAUUAUCGUACAAUCUAUUCUGUGUGUCUUAUUACUGAUUGUCAAAAAGUUCUUUUUUAUUUGAACCAGAAGGGUACUGACUUUUAAAUUCCUCCAGUCUCUCCACUCCAUCCUCUGGAAGAACACUUAACAAAUAGAUCUGUGUCUGUUGUUUAUCCCAAAAAUGAGGACAGUUGUGUCGUUGUUAUUAUCAUUUAGCCUAAAUUUUAGUAUAAACAGGUCUUAAAUAAUUUCUUCUUCUGUGACAUGAUUUCCAGAUCCUUUCAGUACUGUGGUCAUUAUUACAACAACAUAACAAUAAAAGCUCAUAUUUACGCAUUUAUUGAAAAAUUUGCUAUCACUUCAUUAUGAUGGUUCUCCCAUGGGUUGAAUUGAACACGGGAUUUCUCAUUCUACAAUGAGAACACAGACACUUCAGUACCUUCUUGACUUAAAUAACUGCUUAGACAUUCUAGACUCUGUGGUCCUGGACAGUACCCAGAAUGAAAUCUUUAGGGACAUGUUUACCUCGUAUGUUUCCUAUUCUGUAAAAUAUCCGCCAUCACAAUCACUCACACUUCUAUGUCCUUUGAACUUCAGAACAACUCCAUGAGGUAGGUGGCAGUAUUGUUAUUAGCAAUGUUCAGAAAGGCCACGGAUCCCAGCUAGUAGGUAAUUAAGCUGGCUUUUAAAACAGUUGUGAAAUUUAUCAAAUAUAUGGAGACGUGUAAAACAUACAUAUAAAUAAAUAUAUUAAAAUGAACAUCUUAACUUACUACCCAGCUAAAGAAAUGAAGCAUUACCAAACUUAGAAGGCCCUUGUAUGACCUUCCAAAGAGAAUAUCUUCCUCUCUCCCUCUCAGAGGUAGCCUUAUCCUAAUUUUUUGUUAGCAAUUCCCUUGCAUUUUUUUGUUUUGAUUUGUUUUAUAUGUACUUAUCCCCAAAUUAAUUUUGUGUUUGGCUAUUUUUGUUCUUUAUAUAAAUUUUAAGCAUAUGUUUAUAUUCACAUAUCUUGCUAGUUUCACUCAGCUUCAUAUUCAUUAGAAGCACCCAUGUUGACAUCUGUAAUUAAGGGUCAUUUAUUUCCAUUUCUGUGGUAUUCCAUUAUAUGCAAUUUAUGUAUCCAUUUUAUAGCUGACAUUGUUUGGGCUGUUUCUAAUUUUGUUGUUGUUUUGUUUUUUAAGAGACAGGUUCUCGCUCUGUUGCCCAGGCUGGAGUGCAGUGGCACGAUCAUUGCCCAUUGCAGCCUCAAACUCCUGAGCUCAAGCAAUCCUCCUGCCUCAGCCUCCCGAGUAGUUGGGACUACAUGUACACCACUAAAUCUGGCUAAUUUUUAAAAUUUUAUUCUAAUGUUUUGAUUUUUGUUCAUACCUCCGUACAUAGUACAGAAGGAAUAAUUCCCUUAAUUGCAGGAAUUUUAUUAUCCUUGGCCUCCUGCCAACUUAAUGAUGGUAGAACUGUGUGUUGUAUGUGUGUCUCCACACACCACUGCCCUAAAUAGUGGGGCAGGUGACACUAUUCAGCUCAGGUGGAGAAUCACUUCUCUAGAGUAGAAGUGCUGGGUGUCAGUGUUCAACAUGACUGAAUAAUGCCAGACUGCUUCCACAGUGGCUGUCAUGGGUCACUUGCUUAUCUGCAUCUCCUUUAAUAUCUGAUAUUGUCUGAUUUUUAAUCCUUUGCCAAAUGUGGGGUGUCUGAAAUGGUAUCAGGCGAGUUUCAUUUGCCUCGCUCUGAUUACUAAUGAAGUUGAAACACCUUUUUGCAUGCUUAUAGUAAAUUUUUGUGGUUUUGUUUUGUCAAAUAUCUAUGAAUGCUCCUUGUCCAGUUUUUUAGUUGUUUAUUUUAGAAGUUUAAAAAUGCUGUAUAUGUUCUAGAUCAGUGCUGUCCAAAGAGAACUUUCUGAGAUGAUGAUGUUCCAUAUUAGGGCAAGUAGAGUAGCUACCAGCCAUGUAUGACUACCGAGUAACUGAAAUGUGUCUAGAGCUACUGAUAAUUAAAUUUUAAAUAAAAUAGCUACAUGUGGCUGGUAGUUACCAUAUUAGGUUGCUGUGCAGAUUUAUGAUUCGUAAAUAAGUCCUUUUAGUUUUUGCCUUCCUUGUCUUUUCAUCUCAUUUUAUUGUUUUUAUGUUUUGUUUGGUUUUGAGAUAGGGUUUUGCUCUGUCACUCCAGUUUGAGUGCUUGGUGCAAUCACAGCUCACUACAGCCUCCACCUUUGGGGCUCAAGCAUUCCUCCCGCUUCAGCCUCCCAAAUAGCUGGGACCACAGGCAGGCACCACCAUGCCCAGUUCAUUUUUGUAUUUUUUGUGGAGACAGGGUUUCUCCACGUUGCCCAGGCUGGUCUUGAACUCCUGAGCUCAAGCAAUCCACCAUCCUUGCCCUCCCCAAAGUACUGCGAUUACAGGCAUGAGCCACUGCAGCUGGCCUCAUUUUAUCUUUUAAAGAAUUAACGUUUUAAUUUUAACUCAGUUUUUUAAAAAAUCGAUCUUUAGACAUAAAGAUAUUCUCCUAUACUGCCUUCUAAAACUUCUGCCUCUCUCACUUAAGACUUCUUUUUGUUUGUUUGUUUGUUUUGAGAUGGAGUCUUGCUCUGUCACCCAGGCUGGAGUGCAGUGGCACGAUCUCAGCUCACUGCAACCUCCGCCUCCUGGGUUCAAGGGAUUCUUCUGCCCUUAGCCUCCCGAGGAGCCGGGACUACAGGAGUCCACCACCAUGCCCGGGUAAUUUUUGUAGUUUUAGUAGAGAUGGGGUUUUGCCAUGUUGACUGGUCUGAUCUUGAACUCCUGACCUCAGGUGAUCUGUCCGCCUCAGUCUCCCAAAGUCCUGGGAUUACAGGCAUGAGCCACCCCGCCUGGCCUCAUUUAAGUAUUUUAUCCACCUGGAAUUGAUUUUGGUGUUGGAUGUGAAGUAGGUAUCCAAUUUCCUUUUCUUUAGUAGAUAUCCAAUUUCCUUUUCUUCCCCCAUAUGUGUUUUCAAAUAUUCUAUCUCUGUCAAACAAUCUGUACUUUCUUCAUUUGUUUUCAGUGUGUUUUCUGUCAUUAGUUGAGUUUUUGUGUAUGUAUGAAUUUGAUUUGGUUCCAUUAGUCUAUUUAUCUAUCCUUGUGCCAGUACCACAUUAUCUUAGUGACUAGUUUUAUAACAAGUUUUGAAAUCUGGUUGGGUAAUACCACUCCCUGCAUUUAGAUUCCUUGGUUUCCCAUCUUCAAACCCUGAGGUUUAUCUCCUAUCCCUGGUGCUCUGUGCUGUCAUUAAAGUAAAAGGUCAAGGUCUCCAGAUUAUGCCCACAUUCUCAGGAAGAAAGCAGGGUGUGACAUGGGCUUACCUCCUAGAUUUCCUGCUUUCACUUUGUUUGAGGACUCAGUCUUCCUAACAGCAAUUCACCAGUUUCCCCACUUCUUAAUAGUUAUAAGAACAAUUGUAACCGCUUAUAGGAUUUGUUUGAUAAAGUAAAAAUAGGUUAGUUAUUCAAAGCAGAUUAUUGACCUGUGUGCUUUUAGCUCACAACCUUUAGGUGAAAGGGAACCGUUUCUUUAUGCUUGGUUUUGUAUAUUUUGUAUUAUCUAGAAUUCUGGCUUGCAUUUUCUAUCCAUUAUUUCUCCUUUGGGUUAAUGAAAAUUAGAUGCCCAUGGGUUCUUGCCCUCCCUCUUUACUAAUCAAAUCUUGUUGAGAGUUGGAUCUUUCUUGUGCAUACUAUCUAACUUGGCAGGAAAUCUAACAUGUUGUUAAUGUCCUCUGGUUAGGGGAGCAAAGGAAUUAACACUAAUAAAAAACAUUUUGUGAUUUUUUACUCUUGGGUAUACAGUUUUACUUGCUUUUACUCAUUUCUUUUAAACUAACCUUCAGAGAGUGUGGGUCUAAAUUGUCUAACAAUGUGUUUUAAAUCCUUAAUUAGUUCACUAUAUGUAGUUUUGCUGCCAAAGAAACUAUGGCAACAGCCUUGGAAAAAUUAAAAUUCCACGCACACAUUCUUGUGUGGAACACCUCUCAUAGACUUCAUUUUUUAAUACUUUAAGAAAUUGGCAAGGCGGGUGGAUCAUGAGGUCAGGAGAUCGAGACCAUCCUGGCUAACACGGUGAAACCCCCGUCUCUACUAAAAAUACAAAAAAUUAGCCGGGCGUGGUGGCGGGCGCCUGUAGUCCCAGCUACUUGGGAGGCUGAGGCAGGAGAAUGGCGCGUGAGCCCGGGAGGCGGAGCUUGCAGUGAGCUGAGAUCACACCACUGCACUCCAGCCUGGGCAACAGAGCAAGACUCCAUCUCGAAAAAAAAAAAAAAAUUAAGUUGUGUGUUUGCUUAAGGGUAUUAUAUAAAGUUGAACUUGAAUCAAGAAAAAUAAAUUUCUGAGCAAAUGCCUCAGAAAGUAGCAAAAUAUGGUCUGCAAAACACAAAGAAGAAACAAAAGGAGAAGGAGCUUCUUGGGGGGCUUGAUUGGAUCAUUAAAUGGAUCAGAGCCACCUUGGACUUGUUUCAAGAGUUUACUCUUAACUUUUUCUCAAAUGCUCUAGUAAUUAUUUAUAUUAAUAAUUUACUCAAUGAAAUUGCAAACAUAUUUUCAUAGUGUUUCAGAAACUGUUGAAUUGAUGGCAGUGAUGGUUUUAGAGGAUUUCAGAAUUCCUUUGAAAUGGGUCAGAGAGAACUGAGAGAACUCCUUAUACAGGAGACGUACCUGACAUCUGGUCAAGGGCAUUCCUCUAGCAGCUCUCCCUGCUCUUCUGCGGUUUUUGAUCUGUUUUGGAUCAUAUCCAUCACCACGUAAACACAUUUCACCUAUAUUAAACAAACAAAAGACCCUUUUCUUGACCCCACUUUCCUUUCCAACUGCUGUCUAAUUUCUUUGUUUCCCUUUGAGUCACAACCCAUCAAAAGAGGUGUCCACACUCAUUAGAUCCAGUUCUGCCAUUUUCUUUUUCUUUUUCUCUUUUUAAAAAAUUAUUAUUAUUAUUAUUAUUAUUUAUUUUAACAGAGUCUCUCCCAGUCACCCAGCCUGGAGUGCAAUGCAGCGAUCUCGGCUAACUGCAACCUCCGCUUCCUGGGUUCAAGCAGUUCUUCUGCCUCAGCCUCUCGAGCAGCUGGGAUUACAGGCAUGUGCCUCCACGCCCAGCUAAUUUUUGUAUUUUUAGUAGAGACAGGGUUUCACCAUGUUGGCCAGGCUUUUCUCGAACUCCUGACCUUGUGAUCCACCCACCUCGGCCUCCCAAAGUGCUGGGAUUACAGGCAUGAGCCACCACACCAGGCCCUCUGCCAUUUUCUCUUAAGCCUACUUCAGUCCUACCCAUCCCACAAAUCUACUCUCUUUAAGAUCACCAAGGACCACUACUUUGCUAAUUCCUCAUUUACUUAACUAACAUUAGUGUUGAACAGUUGAUCCUUUUCAUCUUCCUUGAUAAAUCUUCCUAACUUGGGUCUUUGGAAUAGCACGCUUGCCUCCUUGCCUUUCCAGGCACAUUCCUUUGCACAAGGUGCUGUUCAGACGAAGAUCCCCAUGGGCCCUCACCUCCUUCAAGUCUGUUCUCCCAUGUCACCUUCUCAAUGAGAUACUGACUUGAUAAAACCAGUUUGGCUAUGAAAAUUCUGGAAGACAAGCUAAGCAAUAACCAUCCUGGACAUUGGAACAGGCAAAGAUUUCACGACAAAGACACCAAGAGCAAUUUCAACAAAAGCAAAAAUUGACAAACGGGAUCUAAUUGAAGGUAAGAGCCUCUGCACAGCGAAAGAAGCUAUCAACAGAGUAAAUAGGCAACCUACAGAAAGGGAGAAAAUUUUUGCAAACUAUACAUCUGACAAAGGUGUAACAUCUAGCAUCUAUAAGGAACUUAAACAAAUUUACAAGAGAAAAACAACCCCAUUAAAAAGUGGGCAAAGAACGUGAACAGACACUUCUCAAAAGAAGACAUACAUCUUCCCAACAAGCAUAUGAAGAAAAGCUCAAUAUCACUGAUCAUUAGAGAAAUGCAAAUCAGAACCACAAUGAGAUACCAUCUCACACCAGUCAGAAUGGCUAUCAUCAAAAAAGCCAAAAAUUAACAGAUGCUGGCGAGGUUGCAGAGAAAAGGGAACACUAAUACACUGUUGGUGGGAGUGUAAAUUAGUUCAACCAUUGUGGAAAGCAGUAUGGCGAUUCCUCGAAGAGCUAAAAAUGGAACUAUCAUUUGAUCCAGCAAUCCCAUUAUUGGGUAUAUACCCAGAGGAAUAUAAGCAUUCUACUCUAAAGACACAUGUGUGCGAAUGUUCAUUGCCACACUGUUCACGAUAGCAAAGACUUGGAAUCAACCUAAAUGCCCAUCAAUGACAAACUGGAUAAAGAAAUUGUGGUAUAUAUGUACACUAUGGAAUAUUAUGCAACCAUAAAACAAGAUCAUGUCUUUUGCAGGAACAUGGAUGGAGCUGAAGGCUAUUACCCUUAGCAAACUAAUGCAGAAACAGCAAACCAAAUACUGUAUGUUCUCACUUAUAAGUAAGUGGGAGCUAAAUGAUGAGAACUCAUGAACACAAAGAAGGAAACAACAGACACUGGGGUUUACUUGACAGGAGAGGAUAGGAGGAGGGAGAGGAGCAGAAAAGAUGACUACUGGGUACUGAGCUUAAUACCUGGGUGAUAAAAUAAUAUGUACAACAAACCCCCAUGACAUGUGUUUCUCUAUGAACAAACCUUCACAUGUACACCCAAACCUAAAAUUAAAAAAACAAAAUAAACAAACAAACCAAAAAAACAAGUUUGGAAGUAUUCCUUCCUCCUUUACUUUCUGAAGGAAAGGUGUUAUUUCUUCCUGCAGUGUUUGAUAGAAUUCAGGAGAGCACCAUCUGGACCUGAUAUUUUCUCUGCGAGCAGGUUUUUGAGCAUCCAGUUUCUUUAAUAGAUAUAGAUAGAGUUUCUUAUUUUGUUUUUGCUGCUGUCCUUUUGUUUUUGUUUCCUUGUUUUUUAGAUCUUCUGUAUCCUAGUAUGUCAAUUUUGGUAAGUUGAUAUUUUAAAAAAGAAAUUUGCUAUUUUCAUCUAAGCUGUCAAAUUUGUUGGCAUAAAGGUGUUUGUAAUAAUCUGUAUCUUUUUAAUAUCUAUCAGCAAGAAGAAGAGCAAUAGAGCCAAGUCAAUAAAACCAAAUGCUGGCUAGUUCUUUGAAAAGAUCAAUAAAAUGGAUCAACUUCUAGCUAGACAGACAAAAUCAGAGAUAGAAUGAAUGGUAAAAUAUUAGUGAUGACUUAUUUUUUCAAAAAAUGAAUUUGGCUUCCUUAAUUUUCUCUUGUUUUCUAUUACACAGAUUUAUGUUCUUUAUUAUUUCCUUCCUUGUACUUUAGGUUUUGUUCUUUUUCUAGUGUUUUAGGUUGGAACAUUAGAUCACUGAUUUUUUUACCUUUUUUUCAAAUGGAUGCAUUUAAAGCUAUAAACGUUUCUCUUAGUACACUUUAUAUACCUCAAAGUUUGACAUGAUGUAUUUCUAUCAUCAUUCAGUUUUACAUAUUUUCUGAUUUCUCUUGUGAUUUUUAAAUUUUGACCCAUGGAUUUUUAAGUAUUUUGUUCAAUUUUCAAAACGUUGUGGUCUUUAGAUAUCUUAUUGUUAUUGAUUUCUAAUUUAAUUCCAUUAUGGUCAGAGAACAUACUGUUUGAUUUCAAUCCUUUUUAAUUAAUUGAGACCUGGGUUUUAUGGCUCUACAUAUGAUCAGUCUUGGUGGAUAUACCAAGUGAACUUGUAAAGAACAUGUGUUCUGCAGUUUUUAGGUGUUCUUUAUGUAUUAAGGUGGUUGAUAAUGUUGUUCACAUCAUUUGUGUAUGGGCUGAUUUUUAUUUUGUUUGAUUUUUAUUUUCUAUCAUUUGUUGAAAGGGAUGUUAAAAUCUUCAACUGUAAUGGUGAAAUAGUAUUGUUUCCAUUUAAUUCUGUUCAUUUUUGCCUGAUAUGUCUUUAUAUACACAUUUAAGAUUAUGUCUUCCUGAUGAGUUGUGAAUUAGAACAUUAUGAAAUGUUAUUCUCCAGUAAUAUUAUUCUCUCCUUAAAGUCUAUUUUACUCAAUAUUGAUAUAGCAACUCCAUCCUUUAUAUACUUACUGUUUACAUGGUGUGCCUUUUCAGAAGCAUUUACUUUCAAUUAUAGAUAGCAUAUAGAUGAGACUUGUUUUUUUUUAAAUCUAUUCUGAAAAUUUCUGAUUUUAUUAUUAGGAAUAUUUAGGGGAAAUGUUUAAUAAAUUAAUAUUUUGGGUUUUUUUUCUGUUUUUUUUUUCAUUAGCUCCUCCUUCCCAACCCACUUUUGAAUUUUAUCUGUUAAUAUUCUAUCAACUUCACACAAAAUCUAAAACCCUUGCAACUUACAGGUUCAUUUCUCUAACGCUAUUCUUUAUGCUAGUUAUCAUAUCUAUUACAUCUGCGUAUAUUACAAACUGCACAAGAAAAUGUUAUAGCUUUUGCUCUAAAUUGCCAUAUUUAAUGAAGUUAAAAGAAAAAAUAUUGUAUAUUCUCACAUAAUUACUAUAUUUCUUAUGCUCUUUGUUUCUUUCUAAAGAUAACAGCUGAUAUUGAAUCUGAAGUUCCUUUAAUAUUUCUUGUAGUGAAGAUACCCUAGUGACAAAUCCUCUUAGUUUUUUAUUAUUUCUUGUAUACAGAAAAUGUUUCUUGGCUACAUGCAGUAGCUCACACUCGUAAUCCCAGCACUUUGAGAAGCUGAGAUGGGAGGAUCGCUUGAGCCCAGGAGUUCAAGACCAGCCCAGGCAACAUAGGGAGACACCCAUUGUCUACAAUUUUUUUCUUUUUAAUUAGCUAGGAGUGGUGGCACAUGCCUGUAGUCCCAGCUAUUCAGGAGGCUGAGGUGGGACGAUUGGUUGAGCCAAGGAGGUUGAGGCUACAGUGAACUGUGAUGAUGCCGCUGCACUCCAGUCUGGGGAACAGAGCAAGACACUGUCUCCAAAAAAAAAAAAAAAAAGUUUCUAUUUUGCCUUUUUUCUUAAAAGAUAUUUUUGCUUUAGAUAGAAUUCUGAAUUGACAGUUUGUUUUUUGAACACUUUAAAAAUGUUCCACUGUCUGCUGGACUCUGUAGUUUCUGAUGAUAAAUCAGUGAAAGUUUUUGUUACCCUGUAUGCAAUGUUUUUUGUUUAUUCAUUUAAUUAUUCUGGCUGCGCUCAAGAUUUUUCUCUGCUUCCGUUUUCAGCAAUUUGACUAUGAUUAUGCCUCCCUAGACAUAAUGGUUUAAAUAUUGAUUCUGCUUGGUGUUUGUUGAGCUUUUGGAAUCUGUAAAUUUGUGUCUUUCAUCAAAUUUGGGGACUUUGGGACCAUGAUUUUUUCAAAUAUAUUUUCUGUCUCAUUAUUUGCUCUCCUUGUAGGUCUCUGAUUACAGGUAUGCUAGAUCUUUUGAUAUUUUACUACAAAUCCCUGAGACAGUGUCUUUUUCUUCUCUUUUUAAAUUUUUUUUCUCUUGGAUAAAGAUAAAGAUGGUUUAUUCUUAUGCUGCAGAAUUUCCUUUUUUUUUUUUUUUUUUUGAGACAGAGUCUUGCUCUGCCACCAGGCUGGAGUGCAGUGGCAUGAUCUCAGCUCACUGCAACCUCCGCCUCCCAGGUUCAAGCAAUUUCCCUGCCUCAGCCUCCCAAGUAGCUGGGAUUACAGGCAUGUGCCACCACACCUGGCUAAUUUUUUUUUUUUUUUUUUUGUAUUUUAGUAGAGAUGGGGUUUCACCAUGUUGACCAAGAUGGUGUCGAUCUCCUGACCUUGUGAUCUGCCUGCCUUGGCCUCCCAAAGUGCUGGGAUUACAGGAGUGAGCCACUGUGCCUGGCCCUAUUUGUUUCUUUUUAAUAAUUCUGUUUCUGUACUGAAAUUUCUCAUUUUAUUCAAGCGUAUUAUCUUUGCAUUCUUGAGCAUAGUUAUAAUAGCUGCUUUAACAUUUCGUCUGCUCAUUUUAACAUCUAAAAAUGGUUUGAGGUUUAUCUCUGUUGACUGUCUUUUUUCUUGAGAAUUGGUCACACUGCUUUUUUCUUCAUAUAUCAAAAAGUUUUGGUUGUAUCCUGGUAUUGUGGAAAAAUCUGGAUUCUGUUAUAUUCUUGUGAGGAGUGUUUGUUUGUUUUAGCAGGCAAUUAACUUGACUGGAAUCAAACUGCUAAUCUAUUUUUUAGACAACUGCUCAAAACUCAGCUCAGUUUAUCUUUAGAUAGAGUUUGCCCUGCACACAUACAGUUCAGGGAUUUAAGAAUUUUUCUGCCCCACCCCCACCCAGUACUCUAGUAUUUAAAAUAUAUUCUGACAGACAGUUUUUUGGAGUAUUUUUCUGAGUUGUUAUUUGAUAAUGAGAAUUUUACAGGAAAGGUUUAAAAUUUGAUGUUUUAUUUCUCCAAAUAUCUGCUGGGACAUUGUAAAGGAGAAGCAGUUUGGUUUUAUAAGAAAAUGAUACUUAGCAGGUAUUAAUACUCCAAAUAAUUAUUUUACUCAAGUAUACACUCAAGGCUCUAGACAUGAAGAAUUGGAAAAGGUCAAAGCAAUGAACUAGAAUUCACCUGAAAGCAAGAUAUACUUCCAGAUGUAGACCUUGCAUGAAAUUCUAUCCUUUUGUUCAUAUGAGAAUAAAGAUGCCUGGUAGCAGAACAACUUACAUGUGGCCUACAAACACAGAAUAGCUCUUUCUUUAAAGAAAUUUUGAAUUGAGGGUGAACCUUAAAGAGACAGCACUUUAUGUGCCCCGAUGUGAAUCAUCAGUCCUAACUAAGGUGAUGUUUUAGAAUUUUGGAGCUGGUAUACUCAGAUACCAUGGAGACAAGGCCAAAGGGGUUAGGAAACUUUUCUCUAGUCUUUUUUGGACAGCCUCAGUAAGGGUAGUGUGGGAUACAGAAUCAAAGAGCCUCAUCUUUUGAGAUGGAAAACUCAAGGUCCAAGCAAGACUCUGUCAUUUACUGUUUGAUUUGUAACAGGUAUUUAGCCUUUCAGUGUCUACAUCAAUUUUAUCUAUAAAAUGUAGAUAAAAGUUGUUUAAAAGAUUAGGUGGUUGCCUACUCUGUAGUAGGCAUUCAGUAUUUUGUGUUCUGCUUCCAGAUUACAAAAGGGUGAUAUAAUGUCAAUAUAAGGAUACCAAAAGAAUUCAUGAAAUGUCACCCCAAAAUAUUACUUUGAACUGAGGGUACUUGGGGAACAGCAGGUGCAAGUAGAGGCUUUCUCUGAGCACCACUUGCAUGCAGAGCCUUUUCUCUGAGCUCCUCUUAUCUGUCUAAAGACGGAUCCUCCGAAAGGAACUCAAUUGUCAUGAAUCCCCUCCCUGGGAAUUUUAUCAACCAGGGAAGAUUAACUUGGAUCACAGGAGGGGAGACUAGAGGUUGACCCUAUGCCCAGACUAUCACCUCUUCUAAGGGCUGCUCAGAAACAACUUUUAUUACCGACUUUUUAUCUGUAUAACAAGACAACCUUUAUUCCCCGUGCAUUUCUUCCCCUCACCCUCCCAUAACUUGUGUCGCCACCCCCUUCCCCAGAAGCCCCAAGCCCUGAUGCCUUUCUGUAACUUGGGAUGCUGUAUCAGCAUCAAUCAUCUGACCCUUCUUUGAGGCUCCUAUUUUGUGAGACUCCUGUGCAUACUUAUGUAAUUAAAUAUUUACAUAAGUCUUUCUCCUGUCUUAUGUCAGUUUAAUUUGUAACCCAGCCAAGGAACCUGGAAGGGUAGUGGGAUGCCAUUUUCUCUCCCCUGCAGUGUGCUACAGAGAAGAUUGCUAUUCUUAAUUUGUUAUUUAAUCCUCUUGGGUAAGGCCUAGAAGGAAAAAUCUGUAAAUCUGUAAACUUUAAAAGGGGAAUUUUCAAGAGAAAAUGUUCACAGAAGGCCCUGGAAGGAGCUAGUAGAAGCUUUUAAUAGAAGCAAAACUAAUUGAGAAGUGUGAGACUGGACAUUAUAUUAGCUUUGCAUUUGUAUUACUUUUGUAUUUCUACUCCCAAACACUUUCCACUAUAAGAAAGCUUGAGUGUGUUCUUGAAUUGUGUACUGAGCCACAGGAAGAAAAGGGACAAUGGUUAGACAAGAGCGGGUACAGAAGAGUUGAGCACUAGGCAGGUAUUUAAUACAUAUUUGUUGAAUAAUGACUGGAGAUACUCUGGCACCUCAAUAUUCAUAUUUCCAGGAUCUGGAUUUGUUUCGGGUUGCCUUGCCAAGUGUAAUCUAGUAUGGUGGUAGCCUGAGGGCUCUCAUUUUGUUUACAAUUUACCUACUGAAGUAUUUUAAAGGCUCAGACUUGUCCAGGCUGCAGGAAUCUGGAAGGUGGGGUGGAUGAAUUCCGUUCUUUCUUUGUCCCCAAUUUUUCCCUCAUCUGUACCCAGGGAAUUUGUUCAGGUUGGGUCCUGGUUUAGUUCACCCUCUUACCCAGAUCCACACUUGGCUCUGUGUUGAUUGUGCUUGCUAAAUGUUCAUUGAAUGAAUGAAUGGAAGGCACUAAAUCUGUAGGAAGGCAAAAGAAAGGUUGAGAGGUAUUGAUGCCACCCAGAUGGAGAAUUUACAAUGAAUCAAGCAAGGACCAGAGUAAACAGGGGGCUGUUCUGUCCAACCAGAGCCCUGGCAGGUUUACCUGGUUUAGUGUUUAUGUUUCCUUGAUUGGAAAUCAAUCUCUGUCCGUCUUAGCUCUUACUGUUGUUGGUCUGACUCUACAGAAAAGAAGCUAAUUUUUAUCAUCUUAGAAACCCUCUUCCUGAGCCUCUUAUCAAAUCAUUGUAUUCCCUGUGAAUAAAAGAGGCUGGUGGUCUGUCAUUUCUGAAAGAGAGCCUGAGAGGAGACAUAAUUGUUCUAAUAUUUAUGUUUCUUUAUCAGUUUUCUUUGUGCUUCUACACAUAUUUUCUCAUUUUAUCCUCUUAAUGACAUAAGAAGAGCAGGUAUUAUUAUCCUAUUUUCCAUAGGAGUAAACUAUUUCAGAGAGGUAAUAAGUAUAAAUUGUUCAAGACCUCAGAAAUGAAUGUGGCAGUGACCAGAUGUUUAAUCCAAGUUUAGUGUUUUCUUUAUUUAUAUUGUACUGGCCGUGAUAAUAAUCAGCAUUACGUAUUGAAUGUAUGAUUAAUUAAGCACUAUGAUUAAAUCUUUUCUCACAUAACUUGGCUGGUUCCCUUGCUAGUUCCCUUACAUCCUUUUAUUCUUGGCUGAAAUGAUACCUCUCAGGGAGGGCUUCCUUGACCACUCAUUUAUAAAUUUUAUUAAUUGCAUCUCUCUUUAGUUUUUACCCCCUUCUCUAUUUUAUCUCCUUACAGUUUAUCAUGUAGGACAUAGGUAUGUAUUUAUGUUUUUCAUUGUGUAUCUUUCCCUAAUAGAAUAGAAGCUCCGUGAGGGCGUGGAUUUUUGUCUGUUCCAUGUCUUGAUGUGCCCCCAGCACUAUUAAAACUUUGUCCAUGUAGUAUAUGGCAGGUGCUCAGUAAAAAUUUGCUGCAUGAAUUAAUAAUCCUCAAAAACAACUCUUCCAGAUUUACUGACAAGAAAAAUUAUGCACAAAGAAAUUCCCUUUCCAGGGUCACCCAAGUAGGGGGUUAGAGAACUGAUUUGAAAUUCAAGUGUAUUUAGAUUCAGUGCUCCACUGUAUGUUUUCAAUUCCCCCCCCCCCACAAGGUAUGGGGGAAGUACUGCCUGUCUUACCACAGAAUGGAAGGGGCUAGACUCUGUCCUCCUCACUCCUUCCCCUAGCAAUUCCUCUUAUUUGUUUGGUAUAUUGAAGGUUAGUAUGAGGCUUUUUUUUUUUAAUGGUCUUUCGUUUUCCCCCAGCAAUUCAUCUUAUUUGUUUGGAAUGAGGCUUUUUUUUAAAUGGUCUAUCACUUUUUUUUUUUUAAAGGGAAGAUUUACAAACAAUUAUACUACAGCAAUAAUUAUGCAAAGCUGAAUCUGAAUUUCUUUUUAAAACAUGCAACAAUAUUGUAAUUGGGAUGCUCUUUAAAGUUUGGAAGAGGCAAGAAAAAAAUAAAUAUUAUUAGAGCUAAUAGAUAAUAUAUUCACAUAUAUGUUAGAGCUUUUAGCUCUAAUAAUAUUUAGAAUUAAAUAUUAUUAGGGGUAUGUAUAUGUUUAUUGCAGAGAGUAAAUGGUAUGUGUUGCCUCCUCUAAAAGCCAAAAUUAGGUUUCUUGUGGAAGUUAAACUCCUGAGUAUAGGGACCAUGACAGAAUAGUUCACACUGUAGUGCUCUGUAGAUACUGGGGAAUGAGUGGAUAAACUAGAUUAUGAUCUCUUUGAGGGAGAGAUUCUAAGCAUACCUCUAGUAAGUGGUAGGCAGGUGAUGAACUCAGCACACAUUUGUUGAGUACUUAUUCUAUACUUGGCAUUGUAGGAAGAGAAACAAAGAGCUUAUCCCAAGGACGUUGUUAAAUUGCAGGAGCAUUUGUUCAUGCAUUUGAUAUUUCUUGCUAAUCUCUUGAGGGUGAUGCCCUGAUGGACUGUGGAUCUCAUCUAGUGUGGCAUUACCUUCAUUUCUGUUCAAAUUAUGUAUGUGUCCCUAGAAUCCUAACAAAUGCCAGACGGUUGCAAGAAUUAGUACACAUAUAAAUCGUGUUGCAUUUUGGAAAAGAUUUUAUUUAUUCAACAUGAUAGUUUGUAUUCAUUUAACAAACACUGCUUCACAUAAGUCAUCCCAUUAAAUUUGUGCCACAACCCUCUGAUACAAAUACAGUUCUUCGCCUCAUUUUGAGGAAAUCGAGACUCAGAGACAUUAAGUAAUUUCCUAGAAUCAUGGUUGAAUUAGGUGAUAGGAUUGGGAUUUUAGCCAAAGUGGUCUAACUCUAAAACCCAUGUUCUUAACCAUGUUCUAAAAACAUAUGCUGUGUUGUUUUUCAUACUUUUUCUGCUGCAAAUUCAUCUGUACGUUUUCAAUUUUUAAAAUGAAGGUGGUUUAUUUUCUCUUGAGAGUCUUACAUCAGCUGAUAUAAGAUAAAUAAUAUGUCUAAACAAUGUAAGUACUAUGAUGAAAACUUAGCUGCUAAAUGAGGAAAAGCAAGUUUAAAUGCUCAGUUGUCAGGGGUAAAACAAUGGUGGAGGGUGCCUUCUGUGCUGUUAGCGACGAGCUUUUAGCUCUCAUAAAUCACAAGGAUAUAACUGGAGCCUUAGGAGGAAGCGCGUUAUAUUACUAAUGGAUCAUCCUGCAGGAACAUAAACAAGACAUAAAAAUAAGUGAAGUCCUUGAUGACUCUUUUGUCUUUCUUCCCAAUUCAUCAUUAUUCCAUUAUUAACAUAACCUUAAGACAGUUGGUUAUAAUUUGUAUCCUCAUGGAAUUUCUGUUGGGCUAUUGGGGUUUUGUUUUGUUUUGUUUUGUUUUAAAGUAAGUACCUCCUAAAUAAGAACUUUUAGCUAAUUGAGUGAGUGAAAAACUGCAGCUGUUGGACCAGUUUGUGGGAUGAAAGCGUAACAUUGUUACGCUUUCUCCCUUUCUGUCACACGGGAGAAGCUGAUAACAACUUGGCAUUCUUAGUGUAGAACUGUGGUUGGUAAGCUUCUGUUAGUAUGGUUUCCCUGGAGGAUAUAGCAACCCUUAGAUACCUCUCAGAACUCCCGGAUCUCUCUUCCCAUAUGAAGCCUGGACAAUAGUCAGGAUGCUUGGAGUACUGUUCAGCUAGGAAAAAACGAGAUGGGCACAGAGAGAGGAAGCCACCUGAUAGCUCCCCAUCUCCCCACCCCCCAUUUGGGAUUUGGAGCCAUCUUGUUUCUAUUUUAAGGAAAACAUACAUGUAACCUCUGUUCUGUAUUCUUAUAUAUAUAUUUGCAAGUUAAAAUAUAUGUGAAUGCAUGCAUGAAAGCUUAAAUUUCUGUACUAAAUAUAGACCCAUUGACUUCAGGGGUAUGUAUAGUACAUUAGUCAAUGUAUGUGCCUGGUGUUGAGGUAAGCUGAGAUAAUCCUGCUUACAUACACUCAUGCACACACCCUGUGUAUGCACAUGUUUUAUGUAUUGUAUUAACCAUGUACACACAAAAGCAAUAUAUAUCUAUUGUUUACAGUUAUUAAUUGUACUCCAGGCACAUAUUUACUCUUUGUAUGUACAGUUUUUUGGUUUUUUUGUUUGUUUGUUUGUUUUGAGAUGGAGUUUCACUCUUCUUGCCCAAGCUGGAGUGCAAUGGCGUGAUCUCAUCUCACCACAACCUCCGCCUCCUGGAUUCAAACGAUUUUCCUGCCUCAGCCUCCCGAGUAGCUGGGAUUACAGGCAUGCGCCACCACACCCGGCUAAUUUUUUAUUUUUAGUAGAGAUGGGGUCUCUCCAUGUUGGUCAUGCUGGUCUCGAACUCCCGACAUCAGGUGAUCCACCCACCUCAGCCUCCCGAAGUGCUGGGAUUACAGGCAUGAGCCACCACGCCCAGCCUUAUGCACAGUAUUUUUAUAUUUGUAAAAAUAGAAAUACAAAUAAAAAAAUAAACACACACAAAUAUACAAAUUUAAAAAUAUACACCUAUGCCAUCUAUAGAAAAUAGAAUAUUUAAAUCUCUCACCAUCACUGCCACCACCACACACAUUUAAGUCUUGGAAAUUCUGGUUACAGGUUUUUUUUAGUGGUAGUGUUGUUUGAGCAAAACCACAGAUUAGUCCAUUUCCUCAUUCCCUUGAUUCUCAUAGUUUGUGUUCCCACUCUAAGGAAACAAAUGAAGGGACUGGUACUGCUUCUUUAGGGGGAAUGGGUGUUGCAGGCAGGCCCAGCUGGAGAGGAGCAGCGGGGGCCUUGCGGCAGGGCAGGAAGAGACAUGUAAGCUCCCACUCUGGUGUGCCUCUCUCUGUGUUCCAGCUGAAGGAAACACACUGGGUGUUACGUAAGCAGCCAUUAGUUUAGUUUUAUAAAAGUCAGCUUUUCACAUAGCUCUGCGAUCUAUGUAUGUGCAGAUGUCUUCUUUCAGUGAAGCAGACCCUUGAAAAAAACAUGGAUCUGGGCUUUUUACUCAAAUAGUCAAACUUCAUUUAACUAGAAGGGAAUAGACUGAGUCCAAGUCCUCAUUUUAAAGGCCAGCAAGCCUGUAUCAUGAGAAAUGAACAUUCCACUAAAAAUGGAAACAAGUAAGCCCAUUUUACAUGCAUUUCCAAUAUCUCAAGGUUGAAUCGUAUUUGGAAAUGCUGCUAAGGGAACAGCCAAGACUUCUCCAGCCCUCUCCCUACCCCAGCCCUACCUGACUCCAUCCUCCACCUAAAAUGGCCGCACCCACUGAAAAAUAAAAUAACCUCAAAUUAUCUGUACUGGCAGAAUGAGUAAACAUAAACUCAUCUGAGAACAUAUUAUAAAACCUGGCGAGCAACUCAAGAACAGGGACCACUCAUCCCUAACAUAUCCCAUGGUGCAAUAGGAAAUAUUUUGGUAAUGAUGUGAAGGAAUUAAUUACUGCUCAUAUCAGGAACCCCUGAAUUCAGUAAAUGCUUUGAAAAUCUGGACCCAUGAAAUAACAUGUGGUGUGGUAAAACUGGAAACCUGCCAAGAACUAUAGCUUUAUUUUAAUAUUAAAAGACUCUGGGGAGGUAGGGAUCAUGUUGAAAUAGCUGUUCAUGGGCAUUCACACUGGGUGUCACUUAAGCAGCCAUUAGUUUAGUCCUUUUACAUGCUGCGGAGUCAUGAGGAAGUGUCACUGUCACAUCCGCUGACAUGCAUGUCAGGCCUACCAUGGCACCAGCCUCUAAAGGAAGGUGUUAGCGGUGAAUCCUGCAGCCAAACAGCCAAUAGAAAGCAGGCAUGCCCCAGUUCUUCUGUUUGCAGUUCGCCCUGUCAUCAGAUAGGGGAUGAGAAGACCUUCCUAAAUCCACCUGUGACUUAGAGAGUGAUAUUAGAUGCAGCUUGGCAAGGGAACACACAGAAUAGUUCAGAGAAGGAUAUAAUAAAAUUGUUGCGGUUCAGGCAAAUAUCCUCAUUCCUCUGGUUGGAAACCCAUACGGGAAACAUUUCUUUUUGUUGUUGUUUCUAGCAAGUCUUAAUAGCAGGCAAUGUACUUUCCAGCAGCACCCAACAUUUGCACCUCACUAAGUUGUGGGGGGCGGGCGGGGGUGAGGGUGCUGUUACUGUUGGCUUAAAAAAUUUUUUUUCCCAAUGAUAUUAAAAAAAAACUUGUACCUCUGGAUCAACACUUACAGCUAUAUGCCUGCAUUGUAAAGACCCCAAAAUCUCAAGAGUUGCUUUGCCACUGCUAAAGUAUCUUGAAACUGAAGCCUAGAAAGGCCUUUUCUCUAUUGAGUGAUAUUAGCGCAUUACAACUGGCUUCAUUGUUCAAAGGUAGGACCAGAAGAGAAAGUGCUCCUGCCUCCUAAUGCCACGUCAUACUCAAGACUCAGGUAAUGUGGAUACUCAAGGCCAGUCUUUAACAAUUGAAGAAAUCAAACAUUCAUAAGAUGCUUCCUUUUGUACUGUUUUUCUUUCCUUAGUUUUAAAAGGAAUUUACUUUGUACAAAUUUGUUACUCUAAAUAUAGAACUCCACUGCACAUGAGGCUGUGUCUUGCAAUUAUCUUUUUAAAUGAGGCACUAGGAGGGAGAGACCUUGCAAUUACUGUAAUUGAGCUCAUAGUAUCAAUGAAAUCUUAAAAUGGCACAAUGAUAUAUUUCAUUCAAAAGGCAUGCUAAGUUAAUAUUAUUUUAAAAGGGGAAAUAGAAACAUCUAGAUUUUUAAAAAUUUUAGAGAAGGUCAUUGUGUCUCAAGAUUGUCAUCCCAGGACUUGGAUUCAGUAAGUACUUGGCCAGUGUGAGGGUAAGGAAGUGCUUAGUGGUAACAGAUACUUGUUUCCUUGCCAGUGUCAUCUUUCCACUCCACUGCUGAGCUAAUUGACGCUUGCUGGCAAAUGUUUGAUCGAUAUUCUCUCAAAGAAGCCCUUGAAGAACCCUAACAUGCUGUGGUCAGUUAUCCUCUAACGGGAGGCUAGGUCAGGUUUCGUCCUUCAUUUAUGCAGCAAACAUUUUUCUGAGUUUCUGCAUAGUGUGCCAGGCUCUGGCCCAGGUCACAAGGUUGGUUUGUGACAAGAUAUUAUUUGCAUUGGGUCUGGAGAAGAGAGUCUGGGCUCUGUGAAAUUUCAGGUUCCCAGAGCCUUUCUGACCUAUCCAUCCCCAUUGUCUAGCGGCCUCCCUUUUAUUUGAAAUGCGUCUAUGUUACACUUAGUGUUUAUAAGUUAUGCACAGAUAUUUGUUCUUCAAGUAAGAGUUUUAUGUAGGAAGUGACUGGGUUUGCUUUUCUUUUCUACAGUUGAGUGUAGAAAGCCUGGUCUUUCACAGGCCACCAGAGAAUUCCCAAGUUCACGAACCCAUAGUAUUUUCCCCUUUCCCUCGUGAUUAAUAUUCUACACAAAAAGUUGUGACGUAAAAUGUUGGAGAUUAUUCUGUGGCUCCUGCUCUCUCCUCUUCCCAAUUCUCAGCUUCUCGAUUUUUUUUCUAAGGUCAAGAAUAGGUGGAACUUCUUUUUCCUUGUGAAGGAAUAGACGGUAAACUUUCAAGGCCUGGGCUUAUUUCAGAUGUAAAAGAAUCUCGGGUCAGGGGCUCCUGUUACAGAGUGAAGUGAGGAGAAGUGGGUUGAAGCCUGCCUUUCCCUUUGUUUCUUUUGUUAUGAUCUGGUUGUUAAGGGUAGAGUGGGGUGAAAAACAGGGCAAGAGUCCAUUGAGCCCUUGAGUUGAUAACCUUGGCUUUUGGGAGGCUUGGGUGUGUAUUGCAGUGACUCUCCUGCAAUACCCAACACAAACUGUUAUCCAAACCAACCCCAUUAUAACCUUUAAAGCAAAUGUUCAUUUUGCAUGAAGAAAGAAGCUAAGCUGCUGGUCUCAACUGUUUCCCAGGGCUCAGCCUCCCCCUGUUCUCUGGCAUGUCAGCACUUGCCUCCUGUUUUUUCCAUUGUACUCCUCCCAGCUCAGCACAGGGGCCCCACCUCUCGCAGGAUCAGGGUAUGUGACCCUGGAGCCCAGACAGCCUUGCACAUAAAUCUUUCUGGUCCACCUGCAGAUCGUCUGUCAGCAGCUGCCCUGUUUCUCUGUUGGAUGGGCUAUUCCCUCACAUCUGUCAGACUACCCUGAAGUCUCCACAGGCCAGUGGAAAUUCAGACUGGCCCUACUGCAUCUCCAGGUCUUCAUCUAUCUUGUCCUGUAUCGUUUCCUGCCAUGCCCAGGCUCUGUCCUACUGAGUAAUUUCAUGAGGCCCAAACUAGUGGUGAUGAGCAGCCAUAUCAUGACAGCGGCCAGUUGCUAUCAGUAUACCUUUCUGAACAGGUGCUCUUUUGGGGGCAAGUAUGGACUGAAUGUUUGUGUCUUCCCCAAAUUCAUAUGCUGAAGCCCUAACCCCCAAUGUGAUGGUAUUUGGAGGUGGGGCCUUUGGGAAGUAAUUAGGGUUAGAUGAGGCCGUGAGGGUGGAGCCCCCAUGAUGGAAUUUAAGCUUUUGUAAGAAGAGACAGAAACACUAGAGUACUCUAUAUAAGACGAGGAAGAGACAGACACUCUGUCUGCCAUGUGUGGAUACCAGAAGGUUGCCAUCUGCAAGCUAGGAAGGAGGGCCCUCACCACACACUGAAUCUGCUGUCAUCUUGAUCUUUGACUUCCCACUUUACAGAACUAUGAGAAAUAAAUAUUUGUUGUUUAUGCCACUGUAUAGUAUUUGUAGAAUAGUUGGAGCUAAGACAGCAAGACUUGCUUUAGAGCAGCUGAUAUUACCUAGGAAGCAGAUCAAGAUAGGGAACUGGAGAGGCCCUGAAGCUUCUGAUUGGCUUGAACCAGAUAUGAGUAAUAGUCAUAGGUUAUCUGCCUUUGUCUACACUCAGAGGAAGAUCUUUCCAAUAUGGCAAAUAAUGGUAUAUUGUGUGGGGGCAUGUGACAUUAACAUCUUUAAGUCUCUUCUAUGUGCCAGGCAACAAAUAAAAAUGCACAGUGCAGUGGUUCAAGAGGAUGAAUGUGAUCUAAUUAUUCUGUUUAUUAGCUUUGUGACCUUGGGCAAGUCAGUCCAUUGGAAUCACCUGUAAAAAUAGCAUAGGGUGAUUACCAAGGGCUGUUGUGAAGAUUAAAAGGCAUCAGGUAAAGUCACAUGUCACACAGUGCCCUAAACAUAAUCAGCAAUCAAUUAGUUCUAAUUAUUGUUGUGUUAUUGGUUUGUUGGGAUAAACAGGGUCUUCAAAUGAGGUAAGAACAAGAACAGUGUGAAGCAGAAAGUGAGUGGAACAAAUGGUGAGUCCUAGGAAAUUCUGGAAAAGGACAGAGAAGGCUUCAAAGAGGUUGAAAUUGGGCUGGAACCAGAAGGAAUGAGUAGAAUUUAGAUAAUUUGAUCUGGGAGAGUUCACAUUUUUCUUCAAUUUGAGGGAGCUUGUUAGCAGAAAGAGAAUUGAGCUAGAGAUUAGAAGAAAAGGUCUUUUUGUUUUCUACCUUUACUCAGCACGAGCUUGGGCAAACCACUGAGCCUCGAUUUCCUUGAUUGUAAAACUGGGACAGAGAGAAUAUCUGCUCCGCCUAGCUCCCAGGGUUGUUAUAAGGCACAAAUGAGACACUUCAGGUAAAAAUGCUUUGAAAAUGGUGAAAUGCAACAACACAAGAGUAAGGUCAUUAUUAGAGUCUUAAAAGAGGAUCCCAGAAAAAGUCUGAGCUGCCCGAGACUGUAAUUACCUAUCCUGUAUGACACAGUGCUUUAGAAGAGUCACUGACAGCUGUAGUAAGGUCAUGGCCUACUGCUGACACAUCUAUCCUGACUGUGUUGACUACUCACCCUUCUCCACGUACAGAGAAUGUUCUUUGGAUUCUCCAUUUGUACCCAGCCAUUGUUAAGUUCCUCAAACAAUAAUAACCAUUACAAUAAUAGUAAUAGUAAACAGCCACUACCAUUUAUUUGGCGCUUAUAAUACAUUGGAUACUCUGCUAAGUACUUUACAAACUUUAUCCCACUUAGUUCUCAAGCAACAUCACAAAGCAGCUAUUAUUAUAUCCAAUUUAGAGGUAAUUAAGUUGAGGCUUAGAAAAAUAACUUGCCUCGUCUCCUUCAGCUAGUAAAUGACAGCUGAAUUUAACUGAAACUUCUUUGACUACAGCCCUCUGUGCCAUUUUGCUUUUAAUCUAAGAAAAAAUGCUUUCCCCCACAAGACCUUGUGCCAGAUUUCCCAUGUAGAAUUAACCAUAUGGAUGAGUUAAAUGAAUAAAAUGGUUAGUUAACAUUCAGUUUAUUACUUAUAGCUUUAUCCUUUUACUUCUAGCUCUGUUGUUAGAAAAUUUAGACCCCACAAUAUUUCCCCAGUUACUACUACCUUUCUAGGCCAGAGACUGUCCACUAUGAUAGUAAGAAUAAUCCCUUGUAUUUGUCCUAGCCUUUGUAUAUUCACUGUGUUUCAUUUGAACAUCACAAUAAGUCCUUUAAGGGAUAUCAUUUCUGUUUUACUCAUGAGGAACUGAUGCUAAGGGAAGUCAAGGAAUUUGCCCAAAUUCCCAGCUAAUAAGCGAGAGAGCUCUAUGUCUGUCUGAACCAUUAUGACUAUUACUAAUAGAAAGAAUAGCAGAGAGUGAGAGCAUUUCUUAUAUCCUGUAUAUGAUGUGCAACAUGAAACAAUGAGAAUAUUUUCUACGAAGAACUUCAGAAUGCAGUGGUGUGAGGUUCAGAGAUGUUAAAUAUUUGUGCUUAAAAUUAUUUUUAUGUCACAUACAUUCAAAUAACUAAACUCUGAAACUUACUAGAAAACAAAAUGCAAGGUUUAUUCUUUAGUGGUAAGGCUAGAGUUGAAGGAAAUAAGGAUCAACUAUUAAAUUCUUACCAUGGCACAAAGGUUUUUGAAUGUCAAAUGUUAAACUUUUCUAGGUUCAAUAGGAAUUUUGCUAUGAAUCUUCAGUCCCCUAGGAUAUAUUUCCUGUCUGUGCCUGUCAGCUUCAUUGUUACGUAUUUUAAAUAAAGCUUUCCCUAACAUUCAAAACUCCUUCCGGCCCUUCCUUUUAGGAAGCAGACAUAAAUAAAGUACCCACUAUGCCUUUGCAUUUUUGUUUUCUUUUACCUUUUUCUAACUAUGUGCCCACCCCACCCCCAAUCUUCUGAAGUAUAAAGCUAAGGUAAAAAGAGCUUUUAAAAAAGGGCUCUGGGGAAGUAUGCAAAUGACAGAAAUGUCUAUGGGAAAAUUAAGGGAAAAGAAAUUCAGCAAGAAAGAAAUUCAUUGAUGUUGUGAUGAAACGUUGUCACUGGAGAUAAUGACAAAUUAGAAUCCGUUCCCAUGGGGACCGCACGCUACCUACUGAUCAUUUGACCCGUGGCUGGAUGUUGGCUAGCCUAAGAAUUGACCCAAAAGAUGACAAGAUGGUUUUAGUCCUGUUGUCUCAUCCGUAUUCAGGAACCCCUUAGGGGAUGAAGGGGAAAGGAUAAAGAAGGAUAAAAGAUGAAAGCUGAGCUGUGGAAAGAAAAAUGUUUUUAAUUACACUGAGGAGGAUUGUGGGUCCACCUGUAGCUUUCUGUUGAGAAUGUCUUUGUUUUCUUCUGUCUGCAGGGAUCAUGGCAGGAUACAGACCCAGAAUCUGUCUGGCUUUUUGGAAGGGUCUACAUUGGCCCUUCGGUCCUCUUCAGUUUAUUGGAUACAUUCAGGAUUAACCUCUCUGUGGGCUGUCUUUACUCUGAGGUUCUGUUAUGCUUGCUGAGCAGCCUGGGUUUGGUUGGCGUGCUAACAGAGAUUCCUUUUAGAGGGAAGAAAAAAAAAAAAAGACGCGAUAGUGGAGCACAAGAUGAGGUUUCCAUAGUGUGUCACCAUCACAUUCCUCGUCAGAAGCACACAGGGAGCUCCUCUCAGGCAGUGAGGUGGAGGGAGGCAAGAGCACCCCCAGUAGUCAAGAGACUUGUAUGCUCCAUAUGCCUCAGUUUCUUCACUUGUAAACUGGGCAUCACAGUGUUCUCUUACUAUCCUAUAAUGGUACAUAGUCAAGGUGAAAUUCUUUAGGAAAAUACUGAAUUCUGAAGAAAAGGAACAAUACUAGCACUCUGUUCUCUUGCCAGGUGGCAAACCAACAAAAACCCCUUGAGUAAUUUGAACAAUUUAAAAUAGUUUAAUGUAAUUUAUUCCAUGGUACUCAGGUAAUAUUAGGUUUUGGUGGGUUUGUUUGUUUGUUUUUUUUUUUUAGAAUUCUUUAUAACAAAUUUGAUCAUAUCCCCACCUCUUUCUUGGGAGGUGGGGAUGGGGUAUCAUAGGGUGGAGUGCAGUGGCACGAUCAAGGCUCACUGCAGCCGCAACAUCCUGGGCUCAGGUGAUCCUCCCGCCUCAGCCCUCUGGGUAGCUGGGACUACAGAUGCACACCAAUAUUCUUGGCUAAUUUUUUGUAUUUUUUGGAAGAGACAGUGUCCCGCUAUGUUGCCCAGACUGGUCUUGAACUCUUGGGCUCAAGUGAUCCACCUGCCUCAGCCUCCCAAAGUGUUGGGAUUACAGGUGUGAGCCCCUGCUCCUGGCCCCUUUUUUAUAUUUGUGGUAAAAUUUAAUAAUUCUAAACUUCUUCAAAGUACUUGAUUUUCAUAGGAAUUUUGAAGAAUAUUAUUAGAAAUCAUAUUAAUUUUUAAAAAUCUAAUUCUUAUUAUAAAGUAAUGAGACUGUGCAUAGCUUAUGGUAUCCUGCCAAGCAUUUCACAACAUUUGUUAAAAUUGAUUUGAAAAGAAAUGUGGGGAGAGGGUUGAUCUCCAUAUUACAAAGAGAAGCAAUGUUGAGUAAAGGUUGAAGGUUUGGGCUCUGAAGUCAGAAUAUGGGUUUGAAUCCCAGCCCUACCACUUACUAGCUUUGUAACCUUGAGCAAAUUACCCCUUAGUGUCUACUUCUGGAAAAUGGAAGUGUGCACCUAAUAGGGUCCUUUAAAGGAUUAAGUUGGUAUAUGCAUGUGAGAGGCCUAAAAUUGUGACUUGUACAUAGUUGGCACUCAGCAGAUGUUGGCAUUUUUCUUAGUAAGGCAAGAUAGAAUGUUGCUACAUGAAAGACUGGGGAAUUUCUGACUGACAGCUGUGAAUCCAAGUAGACAGAGCAUGGAUUUGACACCUUUUGUGAAGUGCCAUAGGUGUUUGGACUCUGUAUUCUUGGUACUUUCUGUCUCUAUUGAUGAAGAAUGCAGCUGAAGGCCCACCCUAACCAGGAAGGCAAAGGCAGACAUUCUACCCCGAUCCCCCAGUAAAACACACCUCUGCCAGGGCUGCUCUCCCAUCAACCAGUCACCCUGCAAUCCCAAGGAAGAUUCAGUUCCACAGCCAGCCCAGAGUUGAGGACCUUUUAACAUUCUGCUCUUUGCCUUGUUUGAUUAUGUUAACAGAAAUUCUCAGCCUGUGUGAUUUGUCAUAUUUUAAUAUUUCAAGCCACCAUUGCAGCUUCUUUUAGGUUUGGUUUGUCUGAGGCACCGCAGCGAGUGCAUGAGCACACAGACUUUGAAUUUGUAUAAGUGAAUGGCUCUUCCACUUACUUUGUGGCUUUGGGCUCAUCACUUAACUCAUUGAUAUAAAAUGAGAAUACCCACACUGUAAGGUCCUGGUAGCUAUUAAAAUUUUCUGAAGAACCCUGAAAUCUCUUUGCAACAGAUUUACAACUCACAGGGUACAAUCUUGAUAAUUUUGAUGAUUUAGAUGCAGUGCCUACAUUUAGGAGCUUUGUUUCACCUGCUUCAAUAUGUAUAUCCUAGGAUGGAAUUCAGCUGAUCCUGCAUUUUCCAGUUUUCUGUUGUUGCAUAACAAACCACCCAAAACUUAGUGGCAUAAACAAACAUGCUUACAAAUUCUGUGGGUCAGGAUUUUGACCAGGCACAGCAAGGAUGGCUUAUCUCUGCUUCAUGAUGUCCAUGGCUUCAUCAAGGGGCUACUCUGGGGGCUGAAAUUAUCUGGAAGUUUCUUGGUUCAUGCCACAACUUGGGCUGGGAUGACUUGGAAGACAUGCUAAGCUGGGGAGCUGCCAACUAAGCACUGACUGUGGCCUCUCCAUGUGUCUUGGACUUCUUACAGCUGCGUAGCUGACAGCUACCAAGAGUAAGCGUUCCAAGAGACAGGCAUGUCCUUUUAUGACCUAGCUUUAGGAGUCACGUAGUAUCACUUUCUCUGUACUCCACUAGUAGAAGCCAUCAUAAGCCUACCCAGAUUUAAGCAGUGGGGACAGGGGGACAUGUAGACCCCACCUGCCAAAGGGUAGACCUGUUAAAGAAUUUGUAGGAAAUUUCUAUAAAACCACUACACUAGGAUUAUGGCACCACACUGGGAUUAUGUUUCCAUCUGGGGAUAAAUUAGGGCCGCUGGCUUCUACCUAUAGCAAAGCAGGCCAUACAGACUCUUGCAGCUACUUAAUCUGCCAUUGUAAAAUGAAAGCAGCCGUAAACAAUAUGUAAACAAAUGAUCAUGUUCCAAUAAAUAUUAACAGUAAAAUUAGAAUUUCAUGUAACUACUAAAUAUUAAAAAUAUUCUCCUUUAAAAAACAUUUAAAAGUGUAAGAAUCAUUCUUAGCUCAUGGCCUAUGUAGAAAGAGGCAGUGGACCAGAUUGGAAUAUCUUGAGUUUAGCUAGAUCUGACUCUUCAAAGUUAGAAUCCUCCAAAUGUGUAGAAGAAACCCUUGGGUAUUUCUCAAGUGGAAUUAAGAGUGUGUGUGUGAGAGAGAAGGACAUAUGACUACAAAUUUUGUUUUUAUUUUAAAGUGAAUUUGUGAAGAUAUUUCAAAAUUUAGUUCUUUUAAUUACAUCUUAUGUUCAUUAUGUUACAAAACAUUUAUUCCCAAGGGCAAUAAAGGACUAUGCACUUAAUACUCCUAUGUGGGAAAUUAAUGAUAUUUACUUUAUCAGAAGUCAGGACCUACAAAGAAAAGGUAGAACUUGCUUCUUGAUGGAGCUUCCAGAAAUACAUAUUGUUGUAUAUUUUAAAAAUAAGUAUGUUUUAAAAGAGUUGAUUAUUAGAACAGAAGAUAAGGUUGAUGACUCUCAGGAAUGAAUUUUUAAAAUCUUUAUCACUUCAUUAAAUAUUUUUUCUAUGUCUAUAAUGCCAGGCAGUGUGCUAGAGCCUGAAGAUACAGUGGUGAACAAAAACAUAUAUCGUAUGUUA